ACAAAAACCACCAGCUACAUGUAGAAACAAUGACACACUCUUAGUUGAAACUAAGUCACUAAGUCACAAAAACAGCUGUUAUCUUUAUUGCAAGUGGCCUGAAUUAAUUUUAUAAGAAAGAUAUAAGGCUGCAGUUAAAUGUGUCUACAUAAUAAAGGGACACCGCACUUCUCAGUCUGUAUAAAUAAUUGCGUGUUCAUCAUCGUCGUCGUCCUCCUCCACCUCCUCCUCAUCGUCAUCACGCGAUCAGACUGUCAUGCUGCAUCCUUGGUACGUGCACAGCCUCACUCUGCUCAUGGCAACGCUGUACACAAGCAAGCCGAGUUCAACCACUCCACGGCGGAGGGGUAGCAGGGCUCUUUGUCUAAACGGCUCAAAGCGCGCGUGUCGCCGCUCCAGCCGUGGCCGUUGCAUCACGUGUAGACCAUUUAAGGGCAAAGGAACCCGUGUGGCAUCGACGUUUGCGAUAGAUAGUCAGUCAGGACAGGAAACUGUUAACACGCACAAUGGUUCAUUCCUAAUGUACGACGUGCAAAACUGAACGCGCCGCACCCCAACUAUAACUCUAAGCCUCAACUCCUCGUGCUGGUUUCGUAGGGCCCGCCCCCCGGUGGCGGUUAUUUGCCAGUGAAGCUAUGUGGGCGUGCUUUUGAGCUUAAGCACGGCUCCCUAUUGGCCGCGCGCGAUGUCGGUCCUAUUUAAAUUUGCAUAACCAGGUCGGGUUGCAGACGCAGAGGAGUGGGCAGGGUAGGGGUAAAGCAAGUGUACUGAACUUCUGCGUCGGUGUAGGCUAUACUAUACUCUCCAACGCAGCCAACUUUAAACGCACCGUGAUUUCCUUCUGAGAAAAAAACCUCCAAGCAUGCUCGCUCUUACAGCAAACAGGGGCCCCAGAGCGGAAAUUGAAUACUUCGUCUGUUAAAAGAAUAUUCCCAAAAGAAAACUUAGGUCUGAUUGCAGAACACAUUGUGCGCUGGAUGGCUGACAGUAUAAUAUUUGAGCUCUAAAAGCAGGUAAGCCACUGACUAACGCACAUUGUGCCAAUUGCCAUAUCCACUGUGCGUGUGACAGCGGCUAACCUGGUUUUGGGAAUACCUCUGGUUAUUUUGGCCCGGGUCGGAGCUGAUAGACCCCUAUCGACAAGCAGUGCCUGACCUGAACCGUGCACAUUGCUUGGACAGACCUGCUCAACGUGACCGCCCUCCCUAUAAAAGUAGCCCACUUCCUCCUGUGUUCACAUACUGUACUUUAUUUAGGGCGCGUAGCGUUUGCAUUGCCUCCUAUGGAGCAGACCUUGUUAAUGCCGUCGACUGUCAGGACCAUUGGUGAGUGUUUCCUUUCAGUUUCAGUUUUAUGUGAGUGUGGUAGAAAACGUAAUUAUCCCACAGUCACUGGUUUCCAGUUUGAGGUCACAGGCCCUCCAGGGGCUCUCGUAGACGUUCCAUGGGAACCUCCAGCACGAUGAAGUCUCUUACUUUAAAGGCACUUUGAUUUAGAGUAAAUGGAUAUGAUGAUCAUUUAGUAAUGAUUACACAUCUUUACACAGCAUUAGAUGAAGCAGGGCAAUUCAGAAGAGCUGUAUAUGUAGUUAUGUACCAUGAUAUUUGUUUGUAAAGAGUAUCCUAAAAGUGAGAAGUAAAGUUUGUACUAAAAUCA